GACGAACGCUGGCGGCGUGCUUAACACAUGCAAGUCGAACGGAAAGGCCCUGCUUUUGUGGGGUGCUCGAGUGGCGAACGGGUGAGUAACACGUGAGUAACCUGCCCUUGACUUUGGGAUAACUUCAGGAAACUGGGACUAAUACCGGAUAGGAGCUCCUGCUGCAUGGUGGGGGUUGGAAAGUUUCGGCGGUUGGGGAUGGACUCGCGGCUUAUCAGCUUGUUGGUGGGGUAGUGGCUUACCAAGGCUUUGACGGGUAGCCGGCCUGAGAGGGUGACCGGCCACAUUGGGACUGAGAUACGGCCCAGACUCCUACGGGAGGCAGCAGUGGGGAAUAUUGCACAAUGGGCGGAAGCCUGAUGCAGCAACGCCGCGUGCGGGAUGACGGCCUUCGGGUUGUAAACCGCUUUCGCCUGUGACGAAGCGUGAGUGACGGUAAUGGGUAAAGAAGCACCGGCUAACUACGUGCCAGCAGCCGCGGUGAUACGUAGGGUGCGAGCGUUGUCCGGAUUUAUUGGGCGUAAAGGGCUCGUAGGUGGUUGAUCGCGUCGGAAGUGUAAUCUUGGGGCUUAACCCUGAGCGUGCUUUCGAUACGGGUUGACUUGAGGAAGGUAGGGGAGAAUGGAAUUCCUGGUGGAGCGGUGGAAUGCGCAGAUAUCAGGAGGAACACCAGUGGCGAAGGCGGUUCUCUGGGCCUUUCCUGACGCUGAGGAGCGAAAGCGUGGGGAGCGAACAGGCUUAGAUACCCUGGUAGUCCACGCUGUAAACGGUGGGUACUAGGUGUGGGGUCCAUUCCACGGGUUCCGUGCCGUAGCUAACGCUUUAAGUACCCCGCCUGGGGAGUACGGCCGCAAGGCUAAAACUCAAAGGAAUUGACGGGGCCCCGCACAAGCGGCGGAGCAUGCGGAUUAAUUCGAUGCAACGCGUAGAACCUUACCUGGGUUUGACAUGGAUCGGGAGUGCUCAGAGAUGGGUGUGCCUCUUUUGGGGUCGGUUCACAGGUGGUGCAUGGCUGUCGUCAGCUCGUGUCGUGAGAUGUUGGGUUAAGUCCCGCAACGAGCGCAACCCUUGUUCACUGUUGCCAGCACGUUAUGGUGGGGACUCAGUGGAGACCGCCGGGGUCAACUCGGAGGAAGGUGGGGAUGACGUCAAGUCAUCAUGCCCCUUAUGUCCAGGGCUUCACGCAUGCUACAAUGGCUGGUACAGAGAGUGGCGAGCCUGUGAGGGUGAGCGAAUCUCGGAAAGCCGGUCUCAGUUCGGAUUGGGGUCUGCAACUCGACCUCAUGAAGUCGGAGUCGCUAGUAAUCGCAGAUCAGCAACGCUGCGGUGAAUACGUUCCCGGG
rnacentral:rRNA from 1 species